AAUUUUUUUAUUUUGUUAGACUAUUGUGAUCCAUUUAAAGCACAUUCAGAAAGUCCGAAAGCCAUGGUAAGGCUUUUCCAGAACUAAAAAAGUGGUCGAUAAGAAGGGGCCCCGGCCUCAACAGAGGUCGAUCGAGCACGAGUAAGAAAGAAUAUUCAGCCAGCAACUUCGAGCAGAAGCAGGAAACCGAUGUUAAGCCGCCAAGGUCAAAAGAUUUCUUGAAGUGUUACAAUUGCGGAGAAGUGGGACACUUUGCUAGUUCGUGUCCAAAGGAGAAGAAAAAGUUACGCUGUACCAAAUGCAACAAGUUCCACGAGCCAAAUGGAAGUUGCAAGCCCAGAAUGUCAUGCGUUUAGGAGCCGCAAAUCAGGACAAUCUUUUCACCAGGAAAAUCUGCGUACACUCGCACGAAUACAGCGCUUUCAUCGAGACAGGUAGUCAAGCCAGUCUUAUCCGACAAACAGUUUCCGAGCAAAUUAACGGCAACCGUUACAAGUGCUCUAUGAAGAUUAGAGGCAUUUGCGGAGGUUCGCGUAUCCUCACUGAAGCGAUGACUGUGGAUAUGGGAAUCGAUGGAAAGACGAUCACAGCGAAGGUGUAUGUAGCAGACGAUUCAAUAGUCAAACGAGCAGUCCAUUAGCCGACAACCCCUGUAAGUGAUACCAAGAUCGAAAAGCUUCUGGACAAUUUUCAGAACGACAACGAAAGUGAGUAAAUGCGCAGCUUACUGGAGAAGUUCGGCGCGGUUUUCUCGACAGGAUUGGAAGGCAUAGGUAAGACAAGCAUACUUCACAGUCGAAAGCAGUCAGGUAGUAGCACAAGCCCCAUACCGAGUUUCCGAGCCAAAGAAGGAAAUUGAAAGCUGCUAAAGCAGGAUAUCAUCACGUUGUCAACGUCAGAAUACGCCAGCCCGGUGGUGCUCAUCAAGAAGCCAAAUGGUAGCGAUCGAAUAUGUGUCGAUUACCGCCGCCUGAACAAGCUAAUCAAGAUGGAGAAUUUCCCAGUGCCGAACAUCGAAGAGCGUCUGAAAAAGGUGAAAAGAUUUAAGUACUUCUCAUUCCUGGACCUCAACAGUGGAUACUAUUAGAUAGAGAUAGCACCAGAGAGCCGAAAAUUUACAGCAUUCAUCACCACAGAUGGAUUGUACCAGUUCAAGCGACUUCCGUUCCGAUUAAAGAACGCACCUGCGGUUUUCAAUCGACUUAUGGCAGAGUUACAAUAGAGAGUACAGAAAGGCGACAUGAUUCAAUACAUAGACGACAUCCUUAUUGGCAGCCAAACAUUUGUCGAGAUGUACGAGAAGCUUGAGAGGAUCCUUGAAGUAACCAAUGUAACCGACGUGAGAAAGUUUUUGGGUCUCACUGGUUAUUUCCGCAAGUUUGUUCCCAGUUAUGCCAUAAUUUCAGUGCCAUUAAGAGUCUUAUUGCACAAGUAUCAUCCGUUUACAUGGAAAACACCACAAGAAGCCUUCGACGAGUUGAAGAAAUUCCUAAUCUCAAAUCCAGUUGCCACCAGUUAUCGCUUAGACGAAGAGCAUGAAUUACAUAUGUAUGCCAGUGCCGUUGGUUUAGCAGGAGUUUUGCUACAACAUCGCUUAUUAUAGCUGAGCUACUUCCAAACCGGAGAAAAACUAACACAGCCACGAACUUGAGGCUCUAGCCGUCGUGGAGUCCUUGGAGCGUUUCAAAUAUUACAUUUAUGGCAAGAAGAUAAAAGUUAUCACCGACUGUAAUGCCUUGAAGACAUCGAUGGAGAAGAAAGAACUGAUACCCCGGAUCGCCAUAGACACCGUUCAUCCAUCAGGAACACAGAUGAACCACGUAGACGCACUCAGUCGAGCUGCAUUCGAGGACGCUCGAGAGAUGGAUACCGCAUGUCUAAAGAUAGCAAAGACAUUAAAGACAGCUGCAUGACGAGAAGAUUCAGAAAAUUGUCUCUGAGAUGAAGUUGAAAAAGAAAGCCGAAACUGACGAGUAUGAUCGCUGAUUGCUUGUUUCGAAAGCAUAAGAACAAUUUGUUAUGGGUUGUGACGAAGCAGUUGAGCUUUCACAAUCUGCAUGAAUGUCACGAUAAGGCCGGACAUUUGAUAAAACAAUGGCACGAAUUCUAAAUCUUUUUUGGUUUCCUCGAAUGCGAAACUUUUUCAAAAGCUACAUAAAGUCAUGUGUGGGCUGUGCGUUUUAUAAAACACCAGGUGGACGUCAAAAAGGUCAAUACCACGAUGACAUCAAGCCGAUUCCAUUUUCCACGAUACAUAUAAACCACCUGGAGCCGUUUCCGGAAAGUUCCAAGAGAAUCGAACAUAUUCUCGUGAUAGUCGAUGCAUUUACCAAGUUCACCAUCGUUCGAGCGGUGAAAAGUACAGCAACCAAACAUGUCCUGGAUGUCCUGCAAGAAGUUACCAGCAACCUGGGAAUGCCAGACCACUUUGUCACCGAUCGUGGACAAGCUUUUACAUCCAAACACUUCGAGAAGUACUGCAAAUCAAAUAAUGUGAAACACAUCUUAAAUGCCGUAAGAACACCCAGAGCCAAUGGUCACGCAGAGCAAACAAACCGAAUCAAUGUUGUUGCCUUCAAAUGACAUCGAUAAGCGUUGGGAUGACAACAUACGAUCAAUUAAGUGGAGCAUCAAUACCAUGGUAAAUAGUACAACUGAAUAAUACCCAUUUCAGCUCCUGUACGGGUAUGAACCCAGAGAUAUCCUGAAGAACGAAAUAACCAACAUCAUCCAAAGCCAGGACCAAAAGAUGCUAACAGACGUGGAAUUGGAACAGCUUCGAGCAGAUGCUGCGACUACUGUCAACGAUCACCGAGCUGCAAAGAAACGCUACGAUGCCAAACAUGCAAAGCCAACUGUUUACAGCCUUGGAUACCUUGUAUUGGUCGAGAACAAGCCAUUCAGCACGAUAAUUUUCAUCUUCUAGAAGUCACUUAAAAGUGUCUUCCGCGAAAGAAAAUGUCAACCCGUUCCCUCAGCCAGAACAAGGACAUGAGGACCGACAGCGCUUCCAAGAGCGCAUUUUCCAUUGCACCGCUAUGCAUAUUAUGUAAAGUUGAGCGACAUUAAAGUCUCCCGAUUAGAGUAUGACUUAAAAACUUACGAAUUCAAUAAAAAAUUUAAAAUAUUUGAUUAACCAAGAUACAUAUAAAUUAGGAAUACCAACUCCUAAAAUGGGUUUGAUAGACACGGAAAUAGUGAAUUCCACUGAACACAUUAAAUGUAUUAAAUAAAUAAGGAGUAGAAAGUCAGGACAUGAAAAUUAUAACAACGCUAAUGAUAAUAUUUACUAUUCUUAAGACCGCCAAUUUAGUGUUUAAAAUCUAUAAAAUACACAAAAGGUGUUCAAUGAAAAAAUAUAUAAGCAAGGCGAAUGACCUCGAUAUGAUCUAAGUCAUAAAACAAUUGCACUUUGUAACAAUGUUUAGAAAAGAAUAAAAGUAAACAUAGAAACAUAGUACAUGUGCACACACCCACACAUACAUACUCACAUUAUGCAGUCACCCUUGAGACACUCUUUAAGAAAUAAGAAUCGAGUCAACCUCUUAUAAAUAAGAAUCCAAAUUUAAUUGCCAACAAGCCAGUGAAAAAUGACCAAACUAUAAGCAAUUCAGAGGAAAAUUAUCAUGAAACAAAAACCUCAGCUUAUAGACUAAACGAUUAGAACAAGCCGUUGUUAUGACUAUCGGCACGUUCCCACAAUUCAGGAUACUAAGAUUUCGGGACUCAAGUCUGGAGUCUGAUGUCAAUGUAACACACAAAAAGCUCUAAAGCUCAAACCGAGGUAUGAUCGUAAAUGAAGUAGGAGUUAGAGAGCGAGUUCAGUUCCAUUUUAAAAAUUAUUGUAAGCAGCUUAAGAAUAAAAUUAAAUAAAGUUUUUUUUACCUUAAACUUAUGGUUCAAGAAUUUAAUUGGCGCAGACGGUAGGAUCUCAAAAGUCCUUUAACAAUUCACCGGUACUGAUCAAAAGAAGGAUAAUACUAUAGACUGGUUUAUCAUGAUCAGCGUAAAAUCCGUGAACAAAUAAAGACAAAAAAGAGAUCCACAAAAGUAUCUAAGUGCAAAUCUUUCGCACGUAGAACUUAAAUAAAUUAAAUUAAAAGUGCCUAUAUUAAGAAUAAAACAAUAUAAUAUAUUAUAUAUAGACUAUUAUAUAUAGACUAUUAUAUAUAAACUAAACCAAUAAAUCCAAAUCGGACAAUACGUGCAAAUAUUGAAAACUAACAAAAAGCAAAGACAACUAAUAUGGCAAGUCCUACCACGGCUAUCAGAUAUUCACUUGAAUCAAAUGAUCGGGCAAAUCAAAGAAUUGCCAUAUUUUGAUGGAAACCCAGCGGAGCUAAGUCGGUACAUUGCCAGGGUUGAGUACCUUCUACAACUAUACCCUACUCAAGAUGACAGACAAACUCACAUCAUAUAUGGAGCCAUCGAAAAGACCAUUGUCGACUCAGCGCAAGCAGUCAUCGAAGAAGGAAAAUCUAACGCUUGGUUAACUACAAAAGCAACUCUAAUCAUGGUCUUUAAAGACCACAGGCCUCACGAAGACAUCAUCCAGCACAUCCGGGACACCCCAUACCAAGGAAGCAUCAGUAAGUUCGUAAAUAAACUUAAGCUUAGAUCUUCAAAAGUACAUAAUAAAUUAGAAUUAGAGUCAGACCCAACAGAAAGAUAACUUUAUACAAGCUCAUUAAAUAAAAGUAUUAGGGAUUGUAUCGAGAGAAAACUUCCUGACAGAUUGUAUAAUUGUUUAUCCAUAAAAGAUAUUAUAACUCUUGCUAACUUAAAAAAAGCAGCAAUGAUUCUUGGCCAUUGGGAUAACUAUAAACCCAUUCGAUAACUAUAAACCCAGACGUCAUGAUAAUCGAAGGUAUUCGGGACCACCAUUAACACCAAAACUAUUAUUACCAAAAGUUUAAUUCUCUAAUUUAUCCAAAGUAUAACAAUAACAAUUCAAGAGAUAAUAAUAAUUCAAAUAAUUCACCAAACCCUCAAAAUUCACAAAAUAAAAAUCAAAUUCCCACUAGGAACCAAGGUAAUUAUCACGAGUUUAAGAGAAACCUAGAUCAAUCCUUUAAAUUUACAGGCAUCUACUUCAAAUAAUUCUCAUAAUGCACCUGUUAACAAAGGGACAAAGGGAAACUGCCAGUGCACAGAAUAGGAUGGACGUCAAUUGUCAGCAAACUGCCUCGGAUACAGAAAGCCCAUACGAAAAACUGCUUAGAGCUAUGACGGAUACAGGGUCAUCUAUCAAUUUAAUGACAAAGAAUUUCGCAGAAAAUAAAGAACAGGAAGAAAAACUAAAAGUGCAUACAAUAAAUGGAUCAAUGGAAUUGAACAAAAGUGUAACCUUGCAAAAUCUUUCCUACUAAACAGAAAUUUUAUUUACAUAAAUUUUCUGAUAAUUAUGAUAUAUUGAUAGGCAGAGGUUAUUUAAAAGAAAGUAAGGCAAAAGGAAAUUAUGAGGAGGAAACAGUGAUGUUAGGAGACACGUUACUUUAUAUAAAGUAUGGAUGAUAUGGAAAAGGAUAAGACCGCAGUAAAGUGCCUUAAUCCACCAUCGUUUAAAAAGAAAAUUGAAAAGGAUAAGACCGCAUUAGAAUGCCUUAAUCCACCUUUGUCAAUUUACCAGUCAUUUAAUUUUGCCAUAAAUAAUGAAUUAAAAGAAUGUAAUGAAUACAGGUUAGAACACUUGAAUGAGAAAGAAAGAAAAGCUUAAAAAAGGUUUCAUUUGAAUUUAAUGACAUCCAGUACAAGGAAGGUGAAAAUUUGACUUUUACAAGUACUAUUAAACAUUGAAUUCAAACCAGGCAUGAAGAUCCAGUAUAUAGAAAGCCAUAUAAAUACCGUCAAACUUUUGAUGUCAAGUCAAUAAACAAAUAAAUGAAAUGAUUGAACAGGGAAUAAUUCGUAAAUCAAAAUCUCUCUAUUGUUCACCAAUCUGGAUAGUUCCAAAAAAGAACGAUGCAUCAGAAAAAAUGAAAUUCAGAAAUCUAGCUUAGCUAAAGGAUUCCAUCAAAUUCAAAUGGAACCAGAAUCAAUAGCUAAAACGGCAUUCUCUAAUCAAGGCCUUCAAGGAAUCAUUUUACGUGGUUUCCGAGACAAAUGAGAGGAAAACCGAGAAUCUACAAAAAUUAAUUAUUUAUUAGAAUUGCAAUUUCAAUUGGAGGAUAAAAAAAUUAUUGGCGGAAUUCACCGAAUAACACAACAGGGCUAAUCCGCAGAAGACUGCUGAAGGAAAACCACUCGAAACCCCUUGAAUAAGAGGGAAUGCUGAGUGAACAUUGCUGUACCUGUCCUCGCAAAGAAAGCAGGUUCUGGCCAAAAGCAUUUGGUUACGUUGUGCUAAUAUAAAUGUCAUUGAUGUAUUUUGGUAUGUAUGUCGAUACAGGCUAUCGAUAGGCGUAGGCAAGGCUUGUGAAUUAAUGCGGACCUACCUUCUUCGUUCCCGAUUUUGUGAUGAAAAAGUAGGAUGUGCUCCUUGUGAUCCUUGGUUUUGGUUUCGUGGGUGUUGGAUUGUUAUAUCGGUGAUAAAAUAAAGUUUGUGAUUGUGUAACGUGAAGGGCACGCGCUGCACGGGACCUGGGAAUCAAGUCCUACGCUUGGAUGUGCUUAGCAAGAACGGAUAUGGGCUUCGUUCGGUGGGUUUUCCCAAGACUCCGCGAGGCUGGUUGCGGCAAAAGCUGUAACGUGAAGCUUAACAUCACUACGGACAGUGGCGCAGCUGCUUACCAACUGCAGCAUCUGUAAUUCCAUGCCAGACCCAAGUCAAGGGUUCCACUAGACCCUCUUACAUUUCAUGUUGCUGUAAUCUUUUUUCUAUGUUUAAAAAAAAAACAUAAAAUAUUAUUUACAUGCAAGAUAACUACCGAAGCUUGAGAUUGCCUAGGC